GUUGUGAUGGAGAGUUAGUAGCAUGUGACAAUGUCACAAGUUUUUAACUUCAAAGUUGAGAGCUGACUCUACAUAUUACAUCUCCAAUUUCCAAACCAAACCUCAUGAAGAGGACCAUUCCUUGUGAAAGACAACUCUUUUUGUUAUCUUAUAAGAAUCUAAUCUUGAAAGAAAUUGGUGGAAAGAGAGAGAGUCAUGAAGAGCAUGAUUUGUAAAGAGUGUAAGCGCAAUACCCACUAAGAGAUAAAAAGUGGAAGAUUUGGUAAGGCCUUUUUGUGUUAUAUUGCUCAAUAGUGGUAUGGUGAUAGUGAUGAGAAGGUCGAUCGAAAAAGGGCCUUACACUUUACCAUCCAAAUGAUUACAAUCAGAAAAAACACCCAUCAGAGAAAAAUGAAACUCACAAGGAUUCAUCCAAUGGAUAAAAGAUGUUUGGCUGUCAGCUCCCACCUUUCCAUAUGAUUCACCAGUUCUUGGUUUCUCUUUUAGCUUUCUUUAUCGGCCAUCCAUUUCUUCAAAUCGCUCUCAGCAUUUAUGAUUGCAAUUUGCAGGGCAUGACUUGUGGUUUAUAUAUAUUCAACUCCAAGCUCUGAUUUUUAAUUAGGAGAGGAGUGUUUGCUUUUCCAUAUCAACUAUAACUAAUAAUUUGAGGAAUGACUGGUAGCCUGCGUGUGGCUUGGUAAAUUAUUGCUCUAUCAUCUCUCAAAUUUACUUAUUUGUCCCUCAGCUCCACCUUUUCGAAAUUUUAAAAUUGAAUUUUCACUAUUUUACCACAGAAGCAAAAUAAAAUAAAAAAAAUCUCUACGUAACUGAAUCCUGAGACUUGUAGUAAUUUCGUCAAUUAAGUGAAAAUGAGUAGUUGAAUUGGUUUACGCAACUAGUGAAAUCUCAGUAGUCGGUGGUUCCCCUUUGCACCUCUGCCUUUGAAAAACAAAAGAUGGAUAGAUACAUCGAUCGAUCUAUGGAGGAAAGUCCAAACUGAACCUGAAUUUCACCCUUUUUGUCAACUGCACGUGACAUAAUUGAAAUUUAAAAAAAAAGAAAAAAAAAAAAAAAA